rnacentral:tRNA from 1 species
UCUCUAGUAGCUCAGAUGGUAAAGCAUCUGCCUCCAAUGCAGGAGACUUGGGUUCAAUCCCUGGGUUGGGAA